rnacentral:rRNA from 1 species
AGCGAACGCUGGCGGCAGGCUUAACACAUGCAAGUCGAGCGGGCGUAGCAAUACGUCAGCGGCAGACGGGUGAGUAACGCGUGGGAACGUACCUUUUGGUUCGGAACAACACAGGGAAACUUGUGCUAAUACCGGAUAAGCCCUUACGGGGAAAGAUUUAUCGCCGAAAGAUCGGCCCGCGUCUGAUUAGCUAGUUGGUAGGGUAAUGGCCUACCAAGGCGACGAUCAGUAGCUGGUCUGAGAGGAUGAUCAGCCACAUUGGGACUGAGACACGGCCCAAACUCCUACGGGAGGCAGCAGUGGGGAAUAUUGGACAAUGGGGGGCAACCCUGAUCCAGCCAUGCCGCGUGAGUGAUGAAGGCCCUAGGGUUGUAAAGCUCUUUUGUGCGGGAAGAUAAUGACGGUACCGCAAGAAUAAGCCCCGGCUAACUUCGUGCCAGCAGCCGCGGUAAU